rnacentral:rRNA from 1 species
GAUGAACGCUGGCGGCGUGCCUAACACAUGCAAGUCGAACGGAGAUUACGGACGGAAGUUUUCGGAUGGAAGACUGUAAUUCUUAGUGGCGGACGGGUGAGUAACGCGUGGGCAACCUGCCCUAUACAGGGGGAUAGCAGCUGGAAACGGCUGGUAAGACCGCAUAAGUCGGCGAGACCGCAUGGUUUUGCCGGGAAAUGAGCAAUCAGGUAUAGGAUGGGCCCGCGUCCGAUUAGCCAGUUGGCAGGGUAAAAGCCUACCAAAGCAACGAUCGGUAGCCGGACGGGGAGGGCGGACGGCCAAAUUGGGACUGGGACCCGGCCCAAACUCCUCCGGGGGGCCGCAGGGGGGGAUUUUGCACAAUGGGGGAAACUCUGAGGCGGCGCCGCCGCGGGAGUGAAAAAUUAUUUCGUUUUGUAAACCUCUUUCAGCAGGGAAGGUGUUGCGGGGACCUGACUAAGAAGCCCCGGCAAAUUCCUG